rnacentral:lncRNA from 1 species
ACGUGAAUAAUUUUUAUAGCGAAAAAGCUAAAUAAAUUUAUACAUGCUGAACUACAGUAAGCCAAAAUAUUUAAUUUAAUUUACAAUAACAAGAGGGCCCCCGAAUAAACAAAAGUAAAGAGGACUAUGAACCUACGAUUUGGAAAAUGCAGAUUCAAUGGUAGUCCUCGAUGAGAUCAGCUAUCUACAGUCUAUACUGAAC